GACGAACGCUGGCGGCGUGCUUAACACAUGCAAGUCGAACGAUGAAGAAGAGAAACGCGAACUUCGGUUCAACUUUCACUUCGGAUUAGUGGCAGACGGGUGAGUAACGCGUGAGCAACCUACCUCUUACAAAGGGAUAGCCUCGGGAAACCGUGAUUAAUACCAUAUGACACAUUCAUAAGGCAUCUUAAGAAUGUUAAAGCUACGGCGGUAAGAGAUGGGCUCGCGUCCCAUUAGCUAGUUGGUGAGGUAACGGCACACCAAGGCGACGAUGGGUAACCGGCCUGCGAGGGUGAACGGUCACAUUGGAACUGAGACACGGUCCAAACUCCUACGGGAGGCAGCAGUGGGGAAUAUUGCACAAUGGAGGGAACUCUGAUGCAGCGACGCCGCGUGAGCGAUGAAGGAAUUCGUUUCGUAAAGCUCUGUUCUAUGGGAAGAAAAGGACUGUACCAUAGGAGAAAGCCCCGGCUAAAUACGUG
rnacentral:rRNA from 1 species